UACGGAGGAUGCGAGCGUUAUCCGGAUUUAUUGGGUUUAAAGGGUGCGUAGGCGGCUUUUUAAGUCAGCGGUGAAAUUUUGCAGCUUAACUGUAACAGUGCCGUUGAUACUGGGGAGCUAGGAUUUGGUUGCUGUGUGUGGAAUGUGUGGUGUAGCGGUGAAAUGCUUAGAGAUCACACAGAAUAUCGAUUGCGAAGGCAGCUCACAAAGCCAAGAUUGACGCUGAGGCACGAAAGUGUGGGGAUCAAACAGGA
rnacentral:rRNA from 1 species